UAUGGCCGCUAAAGAUGGAUCUUCCCAGCAGCCAGAGUCCCUCGGAAGGCUACUGAUGCUGACAUGUCCCCCAUUACACCAGUCAUUUGAGACAAGGAAAUCGAAACAGGGCAUCAAAGUUGGUCGACCCUGAGUUAUACAUUCACCUUGUGGCCUGAGGACAAGAGCAGCAAGCAAUGCAAUCUGCCACCCAGAGACACCAGUGAUGCUGUGGGCGGUGAUAACGGAUGACGUUUGGGGCUGGGAUGACGAAAUACAUCGAUCUGAAGACCCGUGCAAGUGGACAAAUACUUCCAAAAGACAGAUCAACACAGGAUGUCACAAGAAAGUGGGUGAAAGAUUCGUUCUGCACGUGAAGCAGUCCAAAGGAUUUUCACACAGACGAGGUUCUCUCUGAGUGGCAGAGAGCAGCACAGCCACUGGAGAAGAUGAGCAUCCAGUAUCCUCUUCUUCAUUCCAUCCUGACAAGAGGAAGUGCCUCCACCACCUUCAAAGGCUCCCAGGCAUACCCUUUCCAUAUCUCGUCCUUGACGUGAGCCAGGAUGGAGCCCCAAACCCCAC